CGUGGAUUCAGAACUCUUCAGCUGGGGAACGGCGGUACCAUUUUUAGACCGUGGAAAGCAGAAGAAAUGGAGCAGACCUUCUAUGACCCAAGAAAUCUCAGUCCCAAUCCCAAGGACCUGGGGAUGUUCUUCUGGCUCACAAGCAUUUUCUAUGGUGUAAACACUGGACGAGGAUCCUGGGAUACCCAGCAGGUGGCAGAGACGAUGCUCCUAUCAGCUUCUUGUUGUUCCUGACAGAGGAGUAUGAAGCAAUGAGAGGCCUCGGGCUCUCGGCUGCUGCAAGAUGGCAGGAGGAGGCUUGCUUGCAAUGACAGACGGGAGAUGGGGAAAGCUCUUCCUGUAUUUCCUAGCCAGACCGCUCUGCACAGGGUGGAGGAGUCCCCACGUUGGUCCAGAGCUGAGCCCGCUCUCCCUGGCCCCAUCACAGUACCAGUUCUCUCUCCUCUCUGGCAAGAAGCUCCUCCCCUCCUGUGACUGAAGCCCUCUCUCUGCUGGUGCAGGGGUGAGACAACAGCUGCUCAUGGCUGGUGCUUGUCUGGGCUGCAGAGGAAUCUAAGCAUCUUGGAGGUCAAGAUCUUGCUGUCCUGAAUCAGUUCUGGCUGAUCCCGACUUCACUAUUCUCAGUCCUCCCUGUGUUGGGACUAUAGGUGUAUGCCAACAUCUAUUGCAAGAUUGAUAUCUAUCUAUCUAUCUAUCUAUCUAUCUAUCUAUCUACCUAUCUAUUUCUAUUUUUAAUUAAAGAGCUGACUAUGUGUCAUGCAAUAGCCCAGGAGCUUCGCCUAUAUCAACACAUUCAACGCUGUUGGUGGAAACCAGGCUGUGUCUGGCUCUGAGUUCAGGCAGUCUGUGUCGUUCAGAUAGUGCUCCUUGGGCUUUGCUUGCCAUGAGUGACUCUAGCCUACAGAACAGUAGUUCACUCCACUUUGAGAGCAAAGGCUGAGGAAGAUGACUCCAUUGUUUGUUUAUGCAAAUGAGCAGCCAACCACUGUCCAGCACUGAGCCACAGCUUACUCAGUCACAUGGGUAGAGUUCUAAUGCACUAAUACCUAUGAAGGUCAGUUAAACCAGUGGACCAUGGGAACAUUGCCUAUCAAAACCACAUCACAACCUCCCAGGCUUCUACAACUUUCAAAGACACCAGACCAACCAUUGAUGUAACCUCUUGGCCUGUAUCAUAUAAAAAUGUGGCACCUCAUACUGACAUCCAAAGGCUUGUUUUCAGAGCAUCCUGUGCACCCAUCAUGGGAUUGGCAAGGGCUCUACAGGUGAUGAAAUUCGGACUUUACACCCGGGAUUUCUGCACAGCAUGAUACCCUCCCUGAGGUAACCCACUUUCUGGACCCAGCUCUUUAUCUUGAACCAUCUCUGCAAGCAUCAAAGAUCAGCCCUUGAUGUCUAUUGCUGUCUUAUCUAAGUACUUAUAGCAAUGCCUGCUUCUGCCUCUCCCAGGUCCCUUCAAGUCCAGUGGUUUCUUCAAUCUGUUCUUACCCGUGCUGUAGCCUGUGUAUGAUGAGACAUGCCAUGUUUAACGUGUGUUAUAUUAGUAUCUAGGUUUGAAAUGAAGAACCUGUGUUUGCCAAAGACCGUACUGCCAAGAGAGACCAGACAGUGAAUUAAAAGCAAUGGUAUAGACUUAGCUUGUCAAUUCAGUGUAAUUUAAUAACCUUGACAUUAUGGAAAGGCGCAAAUGUGCCACUUAUAUUUCUGACAUAGUAUGCUCAUAGCAAGUAUGAGCUCAACUCCACUUUGCAGAUGAGAAAGGAGAGGUUUGGGAGAUCGUUCAGUAACUUCAGCUAUUAAAUGGUAAAGGCAGCAUUUGGAUCCAGGGUACAUAGUACGGGAAGAGUAGUAUAUUCCACCCAUCUGCCUUUUGUGGGAUGGAUAGGACCUCCCAUAUGCUAGGCAAGUACUUUCCCACUAUGCUUCAAUCUAGUCCCCAGUUUUUAAAUGAAACACCAAAAAGUAUAGCCAGUUCCCAGUGCUUCCACUAGCCAUGGCUAUCAGAGACUGGAUUAGGGAGUAAAUGGAGCCAUAAUGCGGAAAGCUGCCUGGCCUCUUCCCCCUUCUAUCUCUAGUCCUGAAUCCUAUUGCUGAGACAGAUACUGUCUAAUUAAGUGUUAGGCAGUGAGUGACUUGGGGACCUUUCAGGGCAUUAAGAGGGACUUCCUCCCUGAGAAGCUGUCAAGGUUAAUAUGGAGAGACUUCCUAUGGCUGAAACAAAUACAUGGGGGGUGGGGUGGGGAAGGUGCUCACCAGAGCAGAUCCUAACACAAUGGAAAUGCACACUAAAAUAGGAUUGUGCGUAAAGGUUUCGGGACUGAAUGUAAAUCACCCUUAAGAACUCAGGUGAUCUUCGUUCUUGAGUUUCAUGUGUUUUGCAAAUUGUAUCUUGUAUGUUGGGUAUUCUAAGUUUCU